UCUAGAUAAAGGGCAGUAACUUCCGGGUCAUGGGUCGUUGCCAUGGAAAGAGGCAUUAAUGUCUGGAUGUUGCCAUGGCAAUGGUAAAGUGACAAGGCACACUGAUGGGUGUGUCUUAUGGAAAGGUGCUUUUGCCUCUUCCUUGUUUUAGCUAGUCCUCAAUCUGGUCCAGUGUCGAGUCUUGCCUCCUGCCUCACUUCCAGUCCUCCUGUUACAGAUGAAGAAACAAGGGAAACAAGGGCUCAGCAAGGUUCACCCCCACCACCGGCUUCCCGUUACACAGUUAUUUCUCCUGUAAAUGUGGUAAACGACCAAGUCCACAGUCCCCCUGUGGGGAGAUUCACGGCGCAGACUCCAGGGCCUCCUGCCACCUGACUCCAGCUGAAGACUCUGAGGAUGGGGGCCACAUGAGGGUGAUUACAGGGUCCCUUCUUCGGCAGGACCAGCCGCAUCAGACAGCGAAGAGGAGCUGCUCAGCUGGCAAGGGGACUUGGCGGGGAGUGAGGGUUCAGGGUGUUCCAAUCAGCCAGAAUCCUCCUUAGAGCUGGCAAUGAAUUCUCAAUGAAGCUUUGUUUUCAACGGGCUCUUCCUUCCCGGUGACUCCAGGUGGCAAAUCUGACAUUCUGCUUCCCCUGCAUGCCAUGGCUUCCAGAUCUGAGCCCUUAUGAUGUGCUGAAUUUUUACUGACUUCAGCCCCAAGCAGUCCAGAUAACCAAUUCCAGCUUCUCCGAGCUUCCUCCAACAUCCACUGCCUGUAACCACUCCUGACACCAACUUCUAUAUAAGGCAAGGUUCUUAGUUGCAGGUAACAUAAACCAGCUCCGGUUAACUUAUAAAGAAACGGAUGUUCAAAGAAUGGAUAUUGAAAAGGAUAUUCAAAGAAUUCCAGGUGACUCAUGCAUUGCUGAGCAGGCUUGGAGACCUGGUUUUGUGGUAUGCAAACAGGAUCAGUCCUCUCCAAUGCAGCCUGAGGUCAGUGCUCUGAACACCUGUUUGACACUGCAGCCCCUGUGACUGGCACCUUCCAACUGAAUACCCAGCACUGGGCACUGUGGCUCCACGGCUCAGCCAGGGAGACGCUCUGCUUCUUUGCAGCACUAAUUUUGUUGUUCAGUCUUGAGUUGGUGUGCCUGACUGGUGAGCCUCACAGACUUCAGCUGUGUCUGAGAAAGGGCGUAGUGGGGAUUUUUAGUUUCUAGGCGGGCGGGCGGGGGGUGGUCCCUGGGUCCACAGCCUACAAGGUGCGGUUCAGACGGUGUGUGGUCAAAACAACGAAACGUAAGUGGAAUGUCUGUUUCAUUCUGUACCACGUUUCUUCCAUUUCUUCCAGCUGAGCACAGGAUGAGGCUGCCUGCCCAGAUAGCUGUCCCUUCUGACUUAGGAUCUCUUUGGCUGUACAUUGAAGGAUGAAGAAGUGUGUAGCUGUUUUACCUAUGACUGGAUUCCCAGAUCCUAGCUCAGCUGCGGACACACCAUGGGCACUCACUUCAUGUUGUUAGGUGAUGGAACAUGUCUUGUGGGGACAGGACUAAGGGUGAGACACCUGCCCCAGGUGCAAAGGUUAAAGGGGCACCAAAAAUUCUCAGUGAUCAAAAUAAGUCAUCAUUUCAUGCAAUAUGUAUAUAUUUUUUGAGGCAGAGUCGUGCUCUGUCACCCAAGCUGGAGUGCAGUAGCGUGAUCUCAGCUCACUGCAACCUUCGCCUCCUGGGUUCAAGUGAUUCUUGUGCUUCAGCUGCCUGCGUAGCUGGGACCACAGGCACAUGCCACCACACCUGGCUAAUUUUUGUAUUUUUAGGACAGACAGGGUUUUGCCAUGUUGGCCAGGCUGGUCUCAAACUCCUGACCUCAAUGAUCUGCCUGCUUCAGCCCCCUGAAGUGCUGGAAUUACAGGCGUGAGCCACCACGCUCAGCCUCAUGCAGUAUUUUAAGAAAUCAAAAUUAAUGCAAACAAGUUCACCACGAGCCAGUCCGGGAGUGGUGGCUCAUGCCUGUAAUCCCAGCACUUUGGGAGGCCGAGGUGGGCAGAUACUUGAGGUCAGGAAUUUGAGACCAGUCUGGCCAACAUGGUGAAACCCCGUCUCUACUAAAAACACAAAAAUUAGCCAGACAUGGUGGCGGGCGCUUGUAAUCCCAGCUACUUGAGAGGCUGAGGCAGGAGAAUCGCUUGAACCUGGGAGGCGGAGGUUGUAGUGAGCUAAGAUUGCACCACUGCACUCAAG
rnacentral:lncRNA from 1 species